GAUGAACGCUGGCGGCGUGCCUAAUACAUGCAAGUCGAGCGAACAGACGAGGAGCUUGCUCUUUCGACGUUAGCGGCGGACGGGUGAGUAACACGUAGGUAACCUACCUAUAAGACUGGGAUAACUUCGGGAAACCGGAGCUAAUACCGGAUAAUAUUUCGAACCGCAUGGUUCGAUAGUGAAAGAUGGCUUUGCUAUCACUUAUAGAUGGAGCUGCGCUGUAUUAGCUAGUUGGUAAGGUAACGGCUUACCAAGGCAACGAUACGUAGCCGACCUGAGAGGGAGAUCGGCCACACUGGAACUGAGACACGGUCCAGACUCCUACGGGAGGCAGCAGUAGGGAAUCUUCCGCAAUGGGAGAAAGCCUGACGGAGCAACGCCGCGUGAGUGAUGAAGGUCUUCGGAUCGUAAAACUCUGUUAUUAGGGAAGAACAAACGUGUAAGUAACUGUGCACGUCUUGACGGUACCUAAUCAGAAAGCCACGGCUAACUACGUG
rnacentral:rRNA from 1 species